rnacentral:rRNA from 1 species
GGUUGAUCCUGCCAGUAGUCAUAUGCUUGUCUCAAAGAUUAAGCCAUGCAUGUGCAAGUAUAAGCGUUUAUACGGUGAAACUGCGAAUGGCUCAUUAUAUCAGUUAUGAUUUACUCGAUGAAGAAGGAUACAUGGAUAACCGUGGUAAUUCUAGAGCUAAUACAUGCAUUAUGAGGGGAUGUAGUAGUCUCUUGCAUUUAUUAGAUAUGGCCAACAGGGCAGCGAUGCUUUUAUUGGUGAUUCAUGAUAACUUGGCGGAUCGCAAGGUCUAUUUGACGGGCGACGGAUCGAA